rnacentral:rRNA from 1 species
ACAGCAGUAGCCACGGGAACACGGAGGAUCCAAGCGUUAUCCUGAUUUAUUGGGUUUAAAGGGUGCGUAGGUGGCCUGUUAAGUCAGGGGUGAAAGACGGUAGCUUAACUAUCGCAGUGCCCUUGAUACUGAUGGGCUUGAAUGAACUCGAGGUAGGCGGAAUGUGACAAGUAGCGGUGAAAUGCAUAGAUAUGUCACAGAACACCGAUUGCGAAGGCAGCUUACUAUGGUUUUAUUGACACUGAGGCACGAAAGCGUGGGGAUCAAACAGAAUUAGAUACCCGCGUAGUCCCUGUCUCUUAUAC